UCACAUACUCUUUUCCUCUUUCUCUCACGUUCUCUCUCUUAUUUUGGAUAUUCUUUUGCAAUUCACCGAUCUGUCUUUUUUUUUUUGUUGUUGAAUUACAUUUUCUUUUCUGCGUGACACUAUAUUUUCCCGCUCCUGCAUAAACAUAACUUUAUACGUUUUCCUUCUACAUACAGAUUUUUUUGAUCUCAUGGUUUUCUGAGGCAAACACUGGUAAUCGUUUUCAUGGAGGUUACGUUUACAUGAAACCAUAGGACAGUCGAGAUCAUCCGUAGAUUUGCAACUUUAAAGAAAAAAGAUGAAUUGCGAAGUUAAAGAAGAUGUCUUUGGAUUCACAAUUUGAUGUUCUUCACAAAUAAUUUUCUCUGUUCAAGAGAAAUUAUUGACCUUUGGUAAUGUAUAUCAGAGAAAAUUAUUCUUUGUAAGACCGAUGAGCAAAGAAUGUAAGAGAAAUAUGUAGAACUUGAAAAGAAGCAUGCAUGGUAUGAUUUCUAAUACUUUGAGAUUUCUUAUAAAUGCUGAAAUAAAUCAGUAACACAUCUUUGUUAUUUUGAAUUUGGCAGUGAGGUCAAAAGCGGUUUAUUAUCUUCUCAACUUCGCCUGCUUUCGUGACACUCAGCAAAUCAUCUCCACAGAUCGAGUUUCUGCCUCCAAACUCAAGACAAAUCUUCUGUUACGAUUGAAGGUCAUUCCAUCAAAUUACAAGUGAAGGACAGGUCCAAAAAACCAAACAAAAAAAAAUCUGCAGAACAAAAUUCAGUACAUAGCACUUCCAUGGUUCAAAUUUCAUGGCUUAAGUUGCAGGAUGUUGCCCAAUGCCAGAUUAUGAGAAAAUUGUUCAGUGAUUGAUUGUAAAAUGAAAGAAGCAUCCAAAAAGUCUGCAAGGAAAUGUGGGAAAUAUAAUAAAGACAUCAACACUUCCAUUGUUAUCUCAUUUAAAUUUAGUGUCAUGAACGUACGCAAUGCCAAAUUUGUUUACAUGAAAAAGAUGGAUGGAUUGAUUAAUUUUAAUCUAAUUAACUUUUCACACACAGAUCGUGAUAAAGCCACUUAAUGAUGUUAUAUUACAAACAUAAAUUAUUUCCAGUACAAAAAAAACAACUUUCUUUAAGUUAGUAAAUGUUUGACUGCUAAUGUUUGGCUAAGUGCCAUAUUAUCAAUUUUAAAAAUAUGGAUAUGCAAAUGUUUCCUAAAUAAACAUAAACACACGUA